CAGUAGCCACGGGAAUACGGAGGGGGCUAGCGUUGUUCGGAAUUACUGGGCGUAAAGCGCACGUAGGCGGCUUGGUAAGUUAGAGGUGAAAGCCCAGGGCUCAACCCUGGAAUUGCCUUUAAGACUGCCGAGCUAGUAGGUGAGAGAGGUAAGUGGAAUUCCGAGUGUAGAGGUGAAAUUCGUAGAUAUUCGGAAGAACACCAGUGGCGAAGGCGGCUCACUGGCUCAUUCUAGACGCUGAGGUGCGAAAGCGUGGGGAGCAAACAGGAUUAGAUACCCGGGUAGUCCCUGUCUCUUAUAC
rnacentral:rRNA from 1 species